GCGGUGACCGCACAUCCCCGUCGGGCGAGUGGCCUCGUCACCUGUGGCAGAGGGCGGCCUUCCCGCCGCGAAGGAGUGUACCCUGUGUCGUGUAGGCGGGCUGUGUGCUGAGGAGCUGGUGGCGAGGAGAGGCCCAGAUUUCAGAAUUUAAAGGGAAGAGAUAUGUAGACCACUCAGCUUAACUGCACUAUUCAUCUAUGUAACAUAAGCCACAAAACCUCUUCAGUUCAUCUGGAUUUGAUUUAUCUGAAUAAAUCUGAGUAAGAUGAUCCAUAUAAAGAAAAGUACGCUUCCUGCACUUCUUUUUUCUUGGUAAGAUUGCUGCUAGUUCCU